UAAUAACCGGACGUAAUAAUUUCGUAACCGACCAUGGUUCGGUAUAGUGAAAGGUGGUUUUGCUAUCACUUAUAGAUGGACCCGCGCCGUAUUAGCUAGUUGGUAAGGUAACGGCUUACCAAGGCGACGAUACGUAGCCGACCUGAGAGGGUGAUCGGCCACACUGGAACUGAGACACGGUCCAGACUCCUACGGGAGGCAGCAGUC
rnacentral:rRNA from 1 species